UCAUAACCACUCCAUCAAGCUGGGAUCAUUAUGAGGACAGUCAGUGGGCCAUACGAUUGGAGGAAAGCAUUCCGGGCAAUGUGAUGGGAAGAGCUAUGAGAGCCCAGGGAUGAAGUCAAGAUGAAAAACCACCUGAAGAAGUAUGUACAUGGUCCAGAACACGGGCUCUGGAGUUCCUGUGUGACUUUGGACGAGUUGAUCACCUUAAACCUCUACUGCUCAUUUGUGAAGGAGAGAGAAUAGCAACACCUGUCCAAGGAUUUCGAGGAUUUGCAACAAUCCACGGUUCAACAAGGGUGCACAGAGACCCAAGAGUGUGGAAGAGGAAGCCAUAGAGUGAUGGAAUAAAUAACUGGUUUCCUUGAAAAUGAAUGGCAAAGUCAUCUGGUACAUUUUCCCUCCUUUUUUUAGCACUAAGUUCAUUGACCUGACUACUCAGAAAAAAUUAAAAC
rnacentral:lncRNA from 10 species